AAUGAACGCUAGCGGCAGGCCUAACACAUGCAAGUCGAGGGGUAGCAGGAUUAAGCUUGCUUAAUUGCUGACGACCGGCGCACGGGUGCGUAACGCGUAUGCAACCUACCUUAUACUGGGGUAUAGCCCGGAGAAAUUCGGAUUAAUCCCCCAUAGUACUAAUGAAUCGCAUGGUUUAUUAGUUAAAGCAUUGCGGUAUAAGAUGGGCAUGCGUCCUAUUAGCUAGAUGGUGAGGUAACGGCUCACCAUGGCUACGAUAGGUAGGGGGCACUGAGAGGGUGGUCCCCCACACUGGUACUGAGACACGGACCAGACUCCUACGGGAGGCAGCAGUGAGGAAUAUUGGUCAAUGGGCGCAAGCCUGAACCAGCCAUGCCGCGUGCAGGAAGAAUGCCCUAUGGGUUGUAAACUGCUUUUAUUUGGGAAUAAACCUCUUUACGUGUAGAGAGCUGAAGGAACCAAAUGAAUAAGCACCGGCUAACUCCGUGCCAGCAGCCGCCGUAA
rnacentral:rRNA from 1 species